GCAGGAAGUUUCUCUUUCCAAAUGAGCAAGCACUCUCUAGAAGAUUCUAUCCAGAAUCCAGAAUCAGACUAGAGAAGCACCCUAUCAGCUUUGUUAUAUUUGGGGUUACAAAGCCAUUUUCUCUUCCUGCAGCUCAAACAGCCAUGCUUUCUGCUUUUUGCUCAACACUUGUGGUGGUCCUGCUAGUAAUUCUCAGAGGGACCUGUGGAGACACGGUGAUGCAGACAGAAGGCCCUGUUACCCUCCCGGAGGGGACACCGCUGACCCUGAACUGCACCUACGAGAGCAGCUACUCGGUUUCUGUCUUCCGGUACGUGCAGCACCAGAACAAAGAGCCUGAGCUCCUCCUGAAGAGUUCAUCAGAAAACCAGAGGGCUGAGCGUCACGGUUUUCAGGCCCAUCAUAAGAGCGACAAGUCCUUUCGGCUGGAGAAACGCGGGGCGCAAACGUCGGACUCGGCCGUGUACUACUGCGCGCUGGGAGCACAGUGAGAGCACCUGCAGGGGGAGCCCAGCGCGAACCCAGAGCUGCACAGGCGGGGCCUGGCUGUGCGCAGCCUGCAGCGCAGAGGAUGGUUUCUCUCCAGUUAGUGUUGCGGGCUGGGCACUAGAGGGGAGGGAACAAUGUCCAGCUCGGAUGCCUGCGCGCUCUGAACCCGGUGCUACUUUGAGCGAGGAAUGGAUAGACACGAUCUAAAUGACAACUUGAUUUCUAAUUUCCAGAAAUGUUCCUGUUUUUAGUCACGUUUCUUCAUGCCAGAUUAAAAAUACCCCGUGGUCAUUGAACUUUACAUCGGAAACCGGGGAUGUACUGUAUGGUGACUAACGUAGUAUAAUAAAAAAAACAUUAAAAAAUAAUAAAAUAGGGGCGCCUGGGUGGCACAGCGGUUAAGCAUCUGCA